GACGUAGGGGGCAAGCGUUGUUCGGAAUUAUUGGGCGUAAAGCGCUCGUAGGCGGGACAGGAAGUUCGUGUUGAAAGACCUCGGCUCAACUGAGGGACCGGCUCGAAUACUCUUGUUCUUGAGGCAAUCAGAGGGUGAUGGAAUUCCCGGUGUAGCGGUGAAAUGCGUAGAUAUCGGGAAGAACACCCGUGGCGAAGGCGGCACUCUGGGACGGUACUGACGCUGAGACGCGAAAGCGUGGGGAGCGAACAGG
rnacentral:rRNA from 1 species